rnacentral:rRNA from 1 species
UGCAGUCUGCAACUCGACUGCAUGAAGCUGGAAUCGCUAGUAAUCGCGAAUCAGCAUGUCGCGGUGAAUACGUUCCCGGGUCUUGUACACACCGCCCGUCACACCAUGGGAGUCGGAAAUGCCCGAAGCCAGUGACCCAACCUUUAAGGAGGGAGCUGUCGAAGGCAGGUCUGGUAACUGGGGUGAAGUCGUAACAAGGUAGC